UACGUAGGGUGCGAGCGUUAAUCGGAAUUACUGGGCGUAAAGCGUGCGCAGGCGGUUCGUUAUGUCUGAUGUGAAAGCCCCGGGCUCAACCUGGGAAUGGCAUUGGAAACUGGCGAGCUUGAGUGUGGCAGAGGGGGGUGGAAUUCCGCGUGUAGCAGUGAAAUGCGUAGAGAUGCGGAGGAACACCGAUGGCGAAGGCAGCCCCCUGGGCUAACACUGACGCUCAGGCACGAAAGCGUGGGGAGCGAACAGG
rnacentral:rRNA from 1 species